rnacentral:rRNA from 1 species
AUGUGGGAGUGGAUCAGUCAGACAACUUUGUUGCCAGAUCCGGACAAUAGAAUCUCCUGGAACCCGACCAUAAAUAAAGCUUACUCUUCCGCAUCAGCCUAUGCGACACAGUUCUAUGGCUCACACCCGAGAUUUGAUUCUUCAAAGGUUUGGUCUGCUCAUGCGGAUCCCAAGUGCAAAUUCUUCGCGUGGCUGGUCCUGCAUGGUAGAAUUCUCACCGCGGACAUGUUGGCUAUACGAGGCUGGCCACAUGACCCGAGGUGCCAGCUAUGUCUUCAAUAG